rnacentral:lncRNA from 1 species
AAAUUUAGUUGCUGCAGAUGAAGUAGCUUGGGUUUUUGAAUAGAUUAAAUGGAGUAAGAUUUAAAGGAUUGAAAAAGCCAACAAUGAGAAGAAACGAGAAGAAAAUUUUAGGGUCUUGUAUUAUUUGCUUGUUGUGUUGAGUUUUUGUAUGAUUGAGAUUAAGGGGAAAUAAAGUAAUGAAAUGGGUUUUUAAUAAAAGAAAUAAAGAAGAAAACGAAGAAACAUAGAAGAAGGCGCAAAAAAAGAAAAAAAUAAAAAAAGAAAUUAAAAAGGGAAUAGGAGGGAAAAAAAAGAAAAAAAAAAAGAA